rnacentral:rRNA from 1 species
GGAACCGUACCCCAAACCGACACAGGUGGUCAGGUAGAGAAUACCAAAGCGAUCGAGCGAAUCCUGGUCAAGGAACUCGGCAAAUUGCUCCCGUGCCUUCGGCAUAAGGGAGACCCCCUGGGGUGACGCGCCUUGCGCGCUGGCUCCGGGGGGUGGCACAGACCAGGGGGUAGCGACUGUUUACCAAAAACACAGAUGCAUGCGAA